rnacentral:misc_RNA from 1 species
UAAUAUGAUUAUUUAGGGUACGCUCAUACAAUAACCAAUCGGUCCUACUUUAAAUCUUCACCGAAUUUCCCGUCCCCAUGGAGGAUGGCUGGAGGCUAAGCAUGAUUGUUCCCACACUGGUGAGUCCAAAAUCGACGAUGAUGUGCCUAAAUGCUCCUUGAUUUGGUCUCCCUUUUUCGAUUAUUCAGAAUUUGAGAAGGAUUGGACUACGUUGAGAGGUGCAGGUGCCGAUUCUGUUGAAGAUGGCGGUGGUGGCGGCGGUCAUGGCGGUGGAGGCGAUGGUGACGAGGAUUUACUGUUGGGGUUUGACGGGUGAAGA